rnacentral:tRNA from 1 species
GCGGGUAUGGCGCAAUUGGUAGCGCAGAUCACUUUUAAUGAUAAGGGAGCCGAAAGGCCGUUUAGGGUUCAAGUCCCUGUGCCCGCA